CCAUUGGAAACGAUGGCUAAUGCCGAAUAUGACCUCCUUUCGCAUGUUUGGAGGUGGAAAGCUCCGGCGGAGAAGGAUGAGCUCGCGGCCUAUCAGCUUGUUGGUGAGGUAAUGGCUCACCAAGGCAUUGACGGGUAGCCGGCCUGAGAGGGUGACCGGCCACACUGGGACUGAGACACGGCCCAGACUCCUACGGGAGGCAGCAGUGGGGAAUAUUGGACAAUGGGCGAAAGCCUGAUCCAGCAACGCCGCGUGAGGGAUGACGGCCUUCGGGUUGUAAACCUCUUUCAGCAGGGACGAAGCGAGAGUGACGGUACCUGCAGAAGAAGGACCGGCCAACUACGUGCCAGCAGCCGCGGUAAUACGUAGGGUCCGAGCGUUGUCCGGAAUUAUUGGGCGUAAAGGGCUCGUAGGCGGUUUGUCGCGUCGGGAGUGAAAACUCAGGGCUCAACCCUGAGCGUGCUUCCGAUACGGGCAGACUAGAGGUAUGCAGGGGAGAA
rnacentral:rRNA from 1 species